AACAAUUCGGAUGAGCAUUAUUGCUCUUCCUUAGUUAUAGAAGAAGAAAAUCUUUUGUUCAUGUCUUUGCUCCUUUCAAGAAUUUAUAUGAAACCUUUUAGGGAUAUAACCUGAAAUUCCAUAGUCAAGUAGGAAGGGCAAAUGCAACAAAAAGGUAUAAGAGGGCAACAUGCGGCCCACGGAAGGCGGGUUGGACCAGACGGAUCUAAAUGUAUUUUCUAUAUUAUAGAGAUACAUGCAAAAGACUUAUCAUCUUUCCUUGGAAAAACUUCCAUCUUAUCUAUGUAUAUUUGAGAUUUAUGUUUUGGCAUGGUAACAAUGAUAUAAUUACAUUUACGGAGAUAUUCUGAAUAAAAUAAUUAAUUGCA